AAAUGAAUUGACGGGGGCCCGCACAAGUGGUGGAAUAUGUGGUUUAAUUCGAUGCUACGCGAAAAACCUUACCUAGGCUUGACAUCCCGUGCUAACCGAUGAAAGUCGGCGUUUCCUUCGGGAACGCGGAGACAGGUGCUGCAUGGCUGUCGUCAGCUCGUGUUGUGAGAUGUUGGGUUAAGUCCCGCAACGAGCGCAACCCUCUUUCUUAGUUACCAUCAUUAAGUUGGGCACUCUAAGAAUACCGCUUGGCUAUAAGCCAGAGGAAGGUGGGGAUGACGUCAAGUCCUCAUGGCCUUUAUGCCUAGGGCUACACACGUAUUACAAUGGACAACACAAAGCGUCGCAAGCUCGCAAGAUCAAGCUAAUCGCAAAAAAUUGUCCUCAGUUCGGAUUGGAGUCUGCAACUCGACUCCAUGAAGCUGGAAUCACUAGUAAUCGUUGAUCAGCAUGCAACGGUGAAUGCGUUCCCGGGCCUUGUACACACCGCCCGU
rnacentral:rRNA from 1 species